rnacentral:rRNA from 1 species
UAAAUAUUUAUUUACUUUUUUAAUUUGAUAAUAUUUUUAUUUUAAUAAAAUCAUUUUUAUUUAGUGAUGUUUUGGUAUAGGAUAUAGAAGAAAUUUAUAGAGUGGUAGUUGAUGUGUAAUGUGAUUGAAUAGUGAAAUAUAUUGAAAAAUUAUUUUUAUGAAAGUAGAUUUUAUUGAUCGUACCUUGUGUAUCAGGGUUUAUCAAAAUUUUAAUAAGGAAUUUAUUUAUCCCGAUUUAAAGAGAGCUAAUUAAGUAUGUUAGUUAAUGUGGAAUAAUUAUUAAUAAUACAUAAUUAGGAAUGAAACGUUAUUCGUUCUUUAAGAUAUCUGGUUUUUUAAGAAAUGAAUUUAAUUCAGAUGGUACUAAUAAUAUAAUUAAAUUUGUUAAUUGUUUUAGUGGUAUUAUUAAUAUAGUGGGGGAUGAGCUUCAUUAUAUUUUUUAUAAAAGUUAAUUGAUUUAAAAAAAUUUGUAGGCUUAGAGUUAGCCAUCAAUGAAAGGAUGUUAUAAUUUAUUUUUUUUUAAAAUAAUUUUCAUAAUUUUUAAAUAUUUCAUUAAAAUGUUUUUUUUAAUUAUAAUAAUUUAGCAAUAAUGAUAAAAUUAGUAUAUAUGAUUGUUUUAAAUUAAAUUUAAUGUAAGGUUACGUUAAGGAACUAGGCAAUUAAAUGCUCGCCUGUUUAACAAAAACAUGUCUUCUUGUGAAUAAUUUGAAGUCUGACCUGCCCACUGACAUUUUACGUUGAAGGGCCGCGGUAUUUUGACCGUGCAAAGGUAGCAUAAUCAUUAGUCUUUUCAUUGAAGGCUUGUAUGAAUGGUUGGACGAGGCAUUGACUGUCUCCGUGUAAAUGAUUUUAGAAUUUAACUUUUAAGUUAAAAGGCUUAAAUAUGGUUAAAGGACGAGAAGACCCUAUAGAGCUUUACUUUUGAUGCUCAUUAUAUAUUUAGUGGUUUUUUUAUAUUGGGUAAAUGAAAGUUUUGUUGGGGUGACAAGAAGAUGGAAUAAACUCUUUUUAGGUUAGAACCAUUGAUGAAUGAUUUGUUGAUCCAUUAUUAGUGAUUAUAAGACUAAGUUACCUUAGGGAUAACAGCGUAAUCUUUUUCGAGAGUUCUUAUCGACAAAAAGGAUUGCGACCUCGAUGUUGGAUUAAGAGUAAUUUUGGGUGUAGAUGUUCAAAGUUUAGGUCUGUUCGACCUUUAAAUUCUUACAUGAUCUGAGUUCAGACCGGCGUAAGCCAGGUCGGUUUCUAUCCUUAAUAGGAAGAUGGUAUUUUAGUACGAAAGGACCAAAUACUGGAAAUAUUGUUUUAUGUUUAAUGAAUUAAAUUAAUAUUAGGUU